AUUGAACGCUGGCGGCAGGCCUAACACAUGCAAGUCGAGCGGAUGAGUGGAGCUUGCUCCAUGAUUCAGCGGCGGACGGGUGAGUAAUGCCUAGGAAUCUGCCUGGUAGUGGGGGACAACGUUUCGAAAGGAACGCUAAUACCGCAUACGUCCUACGGGAGAAAGCAGGGGACCUUCGGGCCUUGCGCUAUCAGAUGAGCCUAGGUCGGAUUAGCUAGUUGGUGGGGUAAAGGCCUACCAAGGCGACGAUCCGUAACUGGUCUGAGAGGAUGAUAAGUCACACUGGAACUGAGACACGGUCCAGACUCCUACGGGAGGCAGCAGUGGGGAAUAUUGGACAAUGGGCGAAAGCCUGAUCCAGCCAUGCCGCGUGUGUGAAGAAGGUCUUCGGAUUGUAAAGCACUUUAAGUUGGGAGGAAGGGCAGUAAGUUAAUACCUUGCUGUUUUGACGUUACCAACAGAAUAAGCACCGGCUAACUUCGUGCCAGCCGCCGCGGUAAUAC
rnacentral:rRNA from 1 species